rnacentral:rRNA from 1 species
UAAUACGGAGGGUGCGAGCGUUGUUCGGAAUCACUGGGCGUAAAGCGCGUGUAGGCGGCUUCUUAAGUCCGAUGUGAAAGCCCGGGGCUCACCCCCGGAAGUGCAUUGGAUACUGGGAAGCUGGAGUACCGGAGAGGAGGGUGGAAUUCCUGGUGUAGCGGUGAAAUGCGUAGAUAUCAGGAGGAACACCUGUGGCGAAGGCGGCCCUCUGGACGGAUACUGACGCUGAGACGCGAAAGCGUGGGGAGCAAACAGGAUUAGAUACCCUGGUAGUCCACGCUGUAAACGAUGGGCACUAGGUGUUCGGGGUAUUGACCCCCCGAGUGCCGCAGCUAACGCAUUAAGUGCCCCGCCUGGGGACUACGGCCGCAAGGCUA